GUGCUUGUUUUGGCAGCACAUAUACUAAAAUCAGAAUAAUACAGAGAAGAUUAGCAUGGCCCCCACACAAAGAUGACAUAUAAAUUGGAUUUUAUAAAUGUAU
ensembl:snRNA U6 U6 spliceosomal RNA